AUUUUAAUUGGAAAAGUUUUGGGUGCGCGCGGGGCGAAAAUCGGUUUUAUCAUGUUUAUUUUCGUACGAAAUUUAAUGGCCAUGUUGAUCUCUGUGGAUAACAACGAUUUUCGCUUGGUAAUCCCUGAAAAUUCCCUCUUAAAACUCAACACUAAACUCUAUGACUAUGAAAACCUUUUUGGAACGAUCCUUGAUUUGUCGUACGUAGUGUACCUAAUGACACCCACGUACUGGUUCCUAAGCGCGGUGCAUCCACUAUGCCACCUACUUUUUGGAUUUUCCUGACAUUUCCCGCCCGAACGCUGCAGACCUUCUUGGAGUUGACAAACUGGAGUAGUCGGUUGGUUUAGGAAAAAGGUCCUUUACGCCUUGAGAUCGGCAGCCGAGAACACGCCGAGGGACUUUCCGUUCAAGUCCGACACCUCGUACGAGCUGGUGCCCUUCUUACGGACGAUGAUGCACGGUGUGUACUGGGGUCCGAGCUUGGCGUUGUAUUGGUCUCCUGCCGACGACUGACGAAAGCUUUUUUUAUACACACGCUGACCCACAUCGAAACUUGUUCUCAACAUUCCACGCAACAUACGAAUGCAUUGACUGCGCGACACUCCUGCUGUGUUGACCUCGCGGAUGGUUAAUUCAUGCUCCAACUCAUCAUCAAGCAAAUGAUUUGCAUCCAUCGAGUAGUAUUGGGCUCGAAGAGUAUCGUGUUCCAUUUUGAAAAUGCGUAGAAAAAUCAACAAAUUUAAAAUUUAAAAAGAACGAUCACUACAAAUUCAAACA